CUCACCUAUCCACUAAACAGCAACUUCAAAGUUGAAAGAUUUUAUUUGUUUUUUUUAAAAACACCUAAUCUAGGCAAAAAUAAUGGGGGUUUAGUUACAUUAUAUGAUCUUACAUUGCAUAAGCCUGCCACAACGUCAAUGUACCCCAUCUUUGGCAGGUCCUACACUAACAGCCUAAUGUCUGCUCUUAUGAGAUUAACCUACUUGGGGAAAUAAAU